rnacentral:rRNA from 1 species
CAGUCGCCGCGGGAAUACAGAGGGUGCGAGCGUUAAUCGGAUUUACUGGGCGUAAAGCGUGCGUAGGCGGCUUCUUAAGUCGGAUGUGAAAUCCCAGAGCUUAACUUAGGAAUUGCAUUCGAUACUGGGAAGCUAGAGUAUGGGAGAGGAUGGUAGAAUUCCAGGUGUAGCGGUGAAAUGCGUAGAGAUCUGGAGGAAUACCGAUGGCGAAGGCAGCCAUCUGGCCUAAUACUGACGCUGAGGUACGAAAGCAUGGGGAGCAAACAGGAUUAGAUACCCGUGUAGUCCCUGUCUCUUAUAA